GUGGGCUUGGCUUUGUUUCUGGAGAAGGGCUGAGCUGGGUUGGGGCUGGGCUGGGGUGAUGAGGAGGAGACGGUUCUUAGGGCUUUAGGCCAUGAGCAGUAGAGAGGAGAGUGAACCACAACAAGUACCAGGCUUGUAGCUCAGAAGGCUUGCCCUCACUGUUGCCAGGAGAUAAAAAUGGCUUUUGGAAAACAUUUGUGCUCCAGGCUGCACAGGGUACUGGGGUGGGCCCAUUAGCCACUUAAUGUCCUGGAUAAUGACCCUUAGCUUCCGAGAAUGUCAGCUGGAAACCCAGACUCUACCAGAGGCAUGGAAACCGGCCAGUAUCCUUGGCCUCAUGUUCAAAGCUCUUUCCAGCUACAAACCAACCCUGCCUAUUUUCUCUACAGCCUUCCUCUCAUGUGGCUCUGUCCUUCAGCUCUCUGAACGUGUCCUGGGCUCUCUUAUUUCCCUUCCUUUGCUUAAGGUGUUGCCCACCCCUAUACUACCCUGUUCCAUCUCUGCCUGGUGAAAUCUUCCUCAUCCUUCGUGCACCGUGUCAUAUGCCAGCUUCCCCAAGAAGCUUUCUGUUACAGCCCCUGUUAGAAGUUGUCUCUUGCCUCUGACCUCCAGCAUGCCAGUAAAGUUUGUCUUAUCCUAACGGAAUCUGAGCUUAUUCUCAUCUUCUUUCCCUUCCUAGGAACCCUGGAAUCACAGACUGUCAUGACUUGUCUAAUGUGCUUUCUGGCACAUGCUUUUUACAUGCUGCACCAAUACUGGGUCUAGCUGCAGCUUGGCUGGGUCGCAGAGGCUGAAGAGGGAGCUAAGCCUGGAGAGCUGGGUUAAGUCAGACAGACCCAAAAUCUCUUACACUGAGUCUCAACUUAUUGUCCCUUGUGACUCCAAGGUCAACUUCCCUUCCCUUUUGGCUGAGGAUCCAGGUCUGGCUAAAUGCAUGAGGAUUAAAUUCCUUAUCUAUCAGGAUCCCAUUGGCUCUCAGAUGCUUUGUGGUUCCCUCCAUCCAGAAGAUGAACUACUCCUUUUGACCGAGACUGGCCUAAUGUGGCUGAUUUUUUUUGCUGAGAAGAUGCUGCUCACUUAUGCCCCCCAUCUUUCAACUGUCUCACUGGCCACUCCACAUUCUCCCUAAUGGGGGCCCUGCAGCAGCCUCUGCUUGGCCCCCCUGCCUCCCAUCUGGCCCCCUCCAACCCACUCUCCACAUUGCAGCCAGAUUUAGUUUUUUUGCCAAAUCCAGCUAUGUCACUCGCCUAUCUAAAAUACACUUUUGGCUUUUCUCUGCCAAUUGAAUAAAACUCCAAAUUUCUUUUUUUUUUAAUUAUACUUUAAGUUCUAGGGUACAUGUGCACAACAUGCAGGUCUGUUACAUAUGUAUACAUGUGCCAUGUUGGUGUGCUGCACCCGCCAACUCGUCAUUUACAUUAGGUAUAUCUCCCAAUGCUAUCCCUCCUCCAUCCCCCCACCCCACGACAGGCCCUGGUGUGUGAGGUUCCCCACCCUGUGUCCAAG
rnacentral:lncRNA from 1 species